rnacentral:rRNA from 1 species
UAGGGAAUAUUGGACAAUGGGCGAAAGCCUGAUCCAGCCAUGCCGCGUGAGUGAUGAAGGCCUUCGGGUUGUAAAACUCUUUUCUGAGGGAAGAACAACCGGGCAAGGAAAUGUGCCCGGCCUGACGGUACCUCAGUAAUAAGCAACGGCUAACUCCGUGCCAGCAGCCGCGGUAAUACGGAGGUUGCGAGCGUUGUUCGGAAUAACUGGGCGUAAAGGGAGCGCAGGCGGUUUGGUAAGUCUGAAGUGAAAGCCCGGGGCUUAACCCCGGAAGUGCUUUGGAAACUGUCAAACUAGAGUACGUGAUAGGAGAGCGGAAUUCAGGGUGUAGCGGUGAAAUGCGUAGAUAUCCUGAGGAACACCGGUGGCGAAAGCGGCUCUCUGGUACGAAACUGACGCUGAGGCUCGAAAGCGUGGGGAUCAAACGGG